UCAUCACCAAAGGAUGCAGUAC
rnacentral:misc_RNA from 1 species